rnacentral:rRNA from 1 species
GAUGAACGCUGGCGGCGUGCCUAAUACAUGCAAGUCGAGCGAAUGGAUUAAGAGCUUGCUCUUAUGAAGUUAGCGGCGGACGGGUGAGUAACACGUGGGUAACCUGCCCAUAAGACUGGGAUAACUCCGGGAAACCGGGGCUAAUACCGGAUAACAUUUUGAACCGCAUGGUUCGAACUUGAAAGGCGGCUUCGGCUGUCACUUAUGGCUGGACCCGCGUCGCAUUAGCUAGUUGGUGAGGUAACGGCUCACCAAGGCAACGAUGCGUAGCCGACCUGAGAGGGUGAUCGGCCACACUGGGACUGAGACACGGCCCAGACUCCUACGGGAGGCAGCAGUAGGGAAUCUUCCGCAAUGGACGAAAGUCUGACGGAGCAACGCCGCGUGAGUGAUGAAGGCUUUCGGGUCGUAAAACUCUGUUGUUAGGGAAGAACAAGUGCUAGUUGAAUAAGCUGGCACCUUGACGGUACCUAACCAGAAAGCCACGGCUAACUACGUGCCAGCAGCCGCGGUAA